rnacentral:rRNA from 1 species
UACGUAGGGUGCGAGCGUUGUCCGGAAUUAUUGGGCGUAAAGAGCUUGUAGGCGGUUUGUCGCGUCUGCCGUGAAAGCCCAGGGCUUAACCCUGGGUCUGCGGUGGGUACGGGCAGACUAGAGUGUGGUAGGGGAGACUGGAAUUCCCGGUGUAGCGGUGAAAUGCGCAGAUAUCGGGAGGAACGCCGGUGGCGAAGGCGGUUCUCUGGGCCUUACCUGACGCUGAGGAGCGAAAGCGUGGGGAGCGAACAGG